CCCUUAGAUGUCCUGGGCCGCACGCGCGCUACACUGAUGCAUGCAACGAGUUUAUAACCUUGGCCUGAAAGGUCUGGGUAAUCUUUUGAGCGUGCAUCGUGAUAGGGAUAGAUUAUUGCAAUUGUUAAUCUUGAACGAGGGAUUCCUAGUAAACGCGAGUCAUCAGCUCGCAUUGAUUACGUCCCUGCCCUUUGUACACACCGCCCGUCGCACCUACCGAUUGAAUGGUUCGGUGAAGAUCUCGGACUUCGAUAUUUAUUCUUUAUUGAGUUUAUAUUGUGGGAAGUUAUCUAAACCUCAUCAUUGAGAGGAAGGUGAAGGCGUAACA
rnacentral:rRNA from 1 species